rnacentral:rRNA from 1 species
AUGGAUUCGACGGAAGCCCUGCCGGACGACGCGCUCGCAAACAUCCUCCGCCGCCUCCCGGCAUCCGACCUCGCCGCGUCCUGCUGCGUGCGCAAGGCGUGGUGCGCCAUCGUCGACGCCCACCGGCUGUUGCUUCCGCACUUUCUCCCGCGUGCGGUGCGCGGCCUCUUCGUCAACUACAUCGACUACGACCGCCCGCGCUUCUUCACCCGCCCCUCGACGGAGCGGCCCGCGAUCAACGGCGAUCUUGGCUUCUUGCCUGGGUACAAUUGGGAUUUCGAGCCAAUUGUGGAUCACUGCAACGGCCUCCUUAUCUACGGCAGUGAGUGGAGGGCGUUCUGCGUGGUCAACCCUGCCACAAGACGGUGGGAGCGUCUCCCACGCCUUGAUGCCAAGAACUACAACACGUACCUCGUGUUUGAUCCUGCCGUGUCACCGCAUUACCAAGUGUUUGCGAUUCCACAGGUGCCCGAGAAAGUUGUUCCAGUCCAACCACAACCAGUGCCCGACAAGAAGCCACCAACACCCUUCUGCCUCACUGAGUUUUUCUCGUUGUUUGAAGAUACACCAGAAGUACUCACCAAGGACUUGGAAGAGGACUGCGAAGAUGGACCAUCGGAAUUGUCACCGGAACAAACCAUUGAAGAGGACAUACCCGCACCGUCACCAAUUGAGGUUCCAGAAGACCCACUAAUUGAGGAUCCAGAAGACUUGGUAGAAUUUCCACCAUCCUCAUGGAUGCUAGACGUGUUCUCGUCUAGUACAAAAGAAUGGCAAAAGAGGUUGUUUGUCCGUGAAGGUGAGGCUUUGGACACGGUGGCUACUAUACGGCUGGAUAGAUUGGAACCAACAUUUUAUGGGCCGAGGUGGCGCUACGGUGUCUACCGGCGAGGAGCAUUCUAUGUGCAUUGUCGUGGUGCAUUUGUUGCAAGGUUAUCCUUAAAGGAUGGCAAGUACCAACUAGUGAAAACACCAAUAGAUAUCGAGGAAAGCAAGCGUGCACAACCUUAUCUGGGGAAAUCAGAAAAAGGGGUUUACUUUGCAACAAUUCACGAUGAAUAUCUAUUUCGGGUUUGGAUUUUAAAUGAAUCAUGUUGUCAGAUAUCUUGGGCAUUGAAGCAUCACAUUGAUCUUAACCCAUGGGCAACGAUAUAUUUGAACCAGCCUAAGGGAAUUGACAAAACUUGGUUCUUAUAUGGUGAUAAUAAUGAAGAUGGAACCAAUGGGGAUGAGAAUUUUGAAUGGAACUCCGAUGACGAUAACGUUCUGAAUAUUGAAGAUGAUUAUGAACCUUUCUACAGCCAUGUUUCUAUCCUCGGAUUUCACCCCUACAAAGAGAUUGUUUUCUUAGAGGUAUCAUCAUUCAGAGUAGUGGCUUAUCAUCUGAAUAGCUCAAAAGUUCAGUACCUGGGCAGAUUACGCCCAAAGGAUUAUUAUCAGUCAUUUACAAAUGGCAUAUAUGAAUCAUUUCUGUACACCCCUUGCAUGAUUGGGGAGCUUUCAGAACGUGCUUGA